GCCUUGGCUGGCCAUGUGCACCUCAUUCCAUGCCAUUCCAACCGUCGCUGUGCUCCCAGGCUUAUGUAAUAAGAACCAGUUUUCCCACUUCAUGAUUUUGCAGCUUAAUGGGAUGGAUAUGGAAGAGAAUAAUUUAGCUUCUAGACAGGCAUAAUCACAGACGUACACAGAGGCUGGAAGACAGUGCACACCAUUGAGAUACGUGUCUCAUCUAGUCCACCACAUGCAGCCAGAACCAGGCCCCACCACCUGGGUGUCCCUUGUGUCCUGUCCUCCUCCCUUUUCUCUCUGGUCCCCACAUUCCUUCCAGAGUUUCUUAUACAUGGAUCGCUCCCAGGCUCCCUUCCAUUGGGGGCCAGAGGUUCUCACAGAGCACAAAGAAGGAGACCAUUGGCCCCUGGGACCAUCAGGGGAAUGAUCUAGAAGUCAAGCAAAAGUUCUAGCCCUUCAGGGUCUUCAAGGGAGAUUACAGGGGAAGAAGGCUGAGGUAGAGAGCAGGGCCUCUAUACAUUUAAGCUCAUAGAGAUACAAAGCAUAUGAAUAUAUGGGAAUUCAGAAAAGUUCUGUCCAACAGAAAUGUAAUCAGAACUGUCAGCCUGUGGAGUUGUUUCCCCAAGAGAGUUUGGAGUUAGAAAGAGAUUGGCCUCUUCCUGUCACAUGUGACACUGGGACCACUCACUCUCGUCAAGAGAAACAUGACACUUCUCACAAGGGUGUAGACUAGCUCCCCACGAUAAUCAUGCAAUAGCCCUAACAUCAAUUCAUGCACUGAGGUGUUCGUGAAUUAAUAUUAAAUAAUAUUACAGAAUGGACAGCAAGGGAAUUCAAUUCCUUCUUAUAUCACCCUGAGAGUGGAGCCUACAAAUCCUCCUGAGUCUUUGAGAUUCUCUGUUCCUGUUAUCCUUGAACAAGAAAAUGUGCACAUGCACACACACACACGCACACACACACCACUAAUUUCCCUGAAAGCACAAGAAUAAGCAAUAAUAGAUAUGCACAGACAAAAUGAAGUGAUGGGGAUUUUAUUUACCUUCCUCCCUGAAACAAUCAAAACACAGACAAAAUAUGUGAUAUAAUGUUUUCAAGUCACUGGACAUCAAACAAUGAAGGGCAGUGAACCCUUUGAGAUAGCAAAUGAACGAUAAUGAGGCCUCCAAUUGCUCAGCCUGUCUUCCUUGAUAGUGUUUCCAGGCUCCUGUUCAGAAAAGGGGGAACCUAGGCAGAGUUCAGUGGAGUCCCUGAGUUGGGGAGACACAACUGAGAGUAUAGAAAAAUCCCAGAGGCAGGAGCUCACAGGACAGAAUGCCAGCAAGGAGUGUGCUGCACAGGAAGAAUGACCGGGAGGCAUACAGAGGGUGUGGAGGGUCACCACUGAGGGUUCCAGUGAGUACUUAUGAUCACAUGAAAACCUCCCAAGUUUGGGGAAGGAACUACCCAAAAAGACUGGAAGUAACUAGAGCUGACCAAGGCCUGAGAACAGCGCCUGUUUCUAUUAGCCAGACUGAAGAACUUCAUGAUUCACAGGACUUUUGGUUUGAAUACGCAGAAAGCCUUCCCUUAAUCAGUGGAGAAUAAGUAGAAAUAGACUCAGCAUUGUUAUGGUCCUACCUAGAAAAUCUUAAAAGCCAGACUCAAAAGGAUCAAUUUAUUUCCAGUAACUUAAUUGCAUCCCAGAAUAAAGCUCAAUAAUAUUGAAAGGACUACAGCAACUUUUAGUACCCAACACCAGGCAUUCAGGGAAGCAGAAGAGUAUAACCCUUAAUGGAGAGAUCCAAUAAGCUCAGAGAACCUUAAGUAUAAGAAGAUGUGAAGAAAAUUACACGGAAGCACAUACUAACCAAAUUGGCUAAAACCAAUGACUAAGAGAACAUCUUAAAAGCAGUCAUACAAAAAAGACAAAAGGAAAAGACAGACAAAAUAAAGAGGAGGGAAGAUAAGGGUGACAGCAGAUUUCUCAGAAGAAACAAUGUAAGUGAGAAGCCAUUGGAGCUGCAUUUUAAAAGUACUGAAAGAAAAAAAUUGCCAAUCUUGAAUUCUGUUCCCAGUGAAAAUAUUUUUCGAAAACAAAGGUGAAUAAAGACUUUUUUCAGAUUGGAAAAGCAAUUCCAUCAAGUGAAUAUAUUAUAAUUUUUCUAUU
rnacentral:antisense_RNA from 1 species